UACAGAGGGGGCAAGCGUUGUUCGGAAUUACUGGGCGUAAAGGGCGCGUAGGCGGCCUGCUAAGUCGAACGUGAAAUCCCUGGGCUCAACCCAGGAACUGCGUCCGAUACUGGUUGGCUUGAAUCCGGGAGAGGGAUGCGGAAUUCCAGGUGUAGCGGUGAAAUGCGUAGAUAUCUGGAGGAACACCGGUGGCGAAGGCGGCGUUCUGGACUGCUACUGACACUGAGGAACGAAAGCCAGGGGAGCAAACGGG
rnacentral:rRNA from 1 species